UACGUAGGGUGCGAGCGUUGUCCGGAAUUAUUGGGCGUAAAGGGCGCGUAGGCGGCUUUGCAAGUGACGGGUGAAAUCCCUCGGCUUAACCGAGGAACUGCCUGUCAAACUGCAUGGCUUGAGACCGGGAGAGGUGGAGUGGAAUUCCCAGUGAUAGCGGUGAAAUGCGUAGAUAUUGGGAGGAACACCAGGUCGGCGAAGGCGGCUCACUGGACCGGUACUGACGCGUGAUGGCGCGAAAAGCGUGGGGAGCAAACAGG
rnacentral:rRNA from 1 species